CCUACGGGAGGCAGCAGUGGGGAAUCUUGCGCAAUGCACGAAAGUGUGACGCAGCAACGCCGCGUGGAGGAAGAAGGCUCUCGGGUCGUAAACUCCUUUCAGUUGGGACGAAGCUUCGUCGGUUAAUAGCCGGCUGGAGUGACGGUACCUUCACAAGAAGCACCGGCUAACUACGUGCCAGCAGCCGCGGUAAUACGUAGGGUGCAAGCGUUGUCCGGAAUCAUUGGGCGUAAAGAGCGUGUAGGCGGCCCGAUUAGUCCGCUGUGAAAGUCCAGGGCUCAACCCUGGAAUGCCGGUGGAUACUGUCGGGCUCGAGUCCGGAAGAGGCGAGUGGAAUUCCUGGUGUAGCGGUGAAAUGCGCAGAUAUCAGGAAGAACACCAACGGCGAAGGCAGCUCGCUGGGACGGUACUGACGCUGAGACGCGAAAGCGUGGGGAGCAAACAGGAUUAGAUACCCUGGUAGUCCACGCCGUAAACGAUGGGUACUAGGUGUGGGGGUGUCGACUCCCCCGUGCCGAGCUAACGCAUUAGUACCCCGCCUGGAGUACGGCCGCAAGGCAAACUCAAGUAGUAGUAGACGCGUGACGAGUCGACGACGGACACGACGGAGGGAGGAGG
rnacentral:rRNA from 1 species